rfam:Filifactor alocis ATCC 35896, complete genome.
GGAGGAGUUCCCGAGUGGCCAAAGGGGGCAGACUGUAAAUCUGUUAGCUACGCUUUCAGUGGUUCGAAUCCACUCUCCUCCA